rnacentral:rRNA from 1 species
UACGAAGGGGGCUAGCGUUGCUCGGAAUUACUGGGCGUAAAGCGCACGUAGGCGGUCUUUUAAGUCGGGGGUGAAAUCCUGGAGCUCAACUCCAGAACUGCCUUCGAUACUGGAAGACUUGAGUCCGGGAGAGGUGAGUGGAACUGCGAGUGUAGAGGUGAAAUUCGUAGAUAUUCGCAAGAACACCAGUGGCGAAGGCGGCUCACUGGCCCGGUACUGACGCUGAGGUGCGAAAGCGUGGGGAGCAAACAGA